AGACCCGAAACCCGGUGAUCUAGCCAUGGGCAGGUUGAAGGUUGGGUAACACUAACUGGAGGACCGAACCGACUAAUGUUGAAAAAUUAGCGGAUGACCUGUGGCUGGGGGUGAAAGGCCAAUCAAACCGGGAGAUAGCUGGUUCUCCCCGAAAGCUAUUUAGGUAGCGCCUCGUGAAUUCAUCUCCGGGGGUAGAGCACUGUUUCGGCUAGGGGGCCAUCCCGGCUUACCAACCCGAUGCAAACUGCGAAUACCGGAGAAUGUUAUCACGGGAGACACACGGCGGGUGCUAACGUCCGUCGUGAAGAGGGAAACAACCCAGACCGCCAGCUAAGGUCCCAAAGUCAUGGUUAAGUGGGAAACGAUGUGGGAAGGCCCAGACAGCCAGGAUGUUGGCUUAGAAGCAGCCAUCAUUUAAAGAAAGCGUAAUAGCUCACUGGUCGAGUCGGCCUGCGCGGAAGAUGUAACGGGGCUAAACCAUGCACCGAAGCUGCGGCAGCGAACGUAUCACUUAAAGCGAUUCAGCGGGUUACGAUUGACGGAGCGAAGCGACGUCAAAGCGUAUACAAAGUCGAGUCGGUUUAAGGAUACGUUCGUUGGGUAGGGGAGCG
rnacentral:rRNA from 2 species